rnacentral:lncRNA from 1 species
CCAGCUCAGAGAGGUCAGUGAGGGAAACCCCACUCUCUCUGACUCAAAGUUCACUCUGACUUGAAGUUCACUCUGCCAGGGGCUGCCCUGGGGGACAGGAAAGAGGUCCUGCCUUUUUUUUUUUUCUUUUUCUUUCUUUUUUUUUUCUUUGAGACAGUCUUGCUCUGUUGCCCAAGCUGGAGUAAAGUGGCAUGAUCUCAGCUCACUGCAACCUCCACCUCCCG